AUACGGAAGGUCCGGGCGUUAUCCGGAUUUAUUGGGUUUAAAGGGAGCGCAGGCGGAGAUGCAAGCGUGACGUCAAAUUUCGGGGCUCAACCCCGUCUCGCGUCGCGAACUGCGUCCCUUGGUUGCGGGAAGGGGAGGCGGAACUCGUGGUGUAGCGGUGAAAUGCAUAGAUAUCACGAAGAACUCCGAUCGCGAGGGCAGCCUUCCGGCCCGUCAACGACGCUCAUGCUCGAAGGUGCGGGUAUCAAACAGGAUUAGAUACCCUGGUAGUCCGCACAGUAAACGAUGGACACCCGCGGUUUGGCCUGUAUGGCUGAGCCGCCAAGCGAAAGCGUUAAGUGUCCCACCUGGGGAGUACGCCGGCAACGGUGAAACUCAAAUGAAUUGACGGGG
rnacentral:rRNA from 1 species